GAUGAACGCUGGCGGCGUGCCUAAUACAUGCAAGUCGAGCGAACAGACGAGGAGCUUGCUCCUCUGACGUUAGCGGCGGACGGGUGAGUAACACGUGGAUAACCUACCUAUAAGACUGGGAUAACUUCGGGAAACCGGAGCUAAUACCGGAUAAUAUAUUGAACCGCAUGGUUCAAUAGUGAAAGAUGGUUUUGCUGUCACUUAUAGAUGGAUCCGCGCCGCAUUAGCUAGUUGGUAAGGUAACGGCUUACCAAGGCAACGAUGCGUAGCCGACCUGAGAGGGUGAUCGGCCACACUGGAACUGAGACACGGUCCAGACUCCUACGGGAGGCAGCAGUAGGGAAUCUUCCGCAAUGGGCGAAAGCCUGACGGAGCAACGCCGCGUGAGUGAUGAAGGUCUUCGGAUCGUAAAACUCUGUUAUUAGGGAAGAACAAAUGUGUAAGUAACUAUGCACGUCUUGACGGUACCUAAUCAGAAAGCCGCGGCUAACUACGUG
rnacentral:rRNA from 1 species